UCAAAUUAGGGCCUGAUCCAAUGUCCAUUGAAGUCAAUGGGAGCAUUUCCAUUGACUUUGCAAGCCAUUGGCUCAGGCCUUAAUAGA
rnacentral:pre_miRNA from 1 species